GGGGCUGACUGGCUUUGACAGCGUGUAGAAGCGGUAGGUAAGCAUGCAGAGUUUUGGUGUUCAAACUCUAUAAUCGCAAGAGCAUCGAACUAUAAUUGGCGAAAAUAACAAUUACGCUCUCGCUGCGUAACCUGAAGUACAGUAGGGUUCCUUUAUUCGCCUCAAAGUGAGGUGAACGAGACAUCACUCCAUUGCCCGGUUCCGAGACGUUUGGAUAAAGUGGUGCUAAGAAAUUCGGAAAUAGGAGAGAGGCAGUCCCGGCUUUUCUCCGAGAUCAAGGGACUAAGGCACGGGUUGGCCGUCGUGAGCCUGCCCAUGCUCGAAAACCAAUUCACAGACUAAGCAUGUAGAAAGCUUAUUGAUUCCGCGUUUGGACGAGGGUUCAAUCCCCUCCAGCUCCACA
rnacentral:tmRNA from 1 species